CCUACGGGAGGCAGCAGUGGGGAAUAUUGCACAAUGGGGGAAACCCUGAUGCAGCGACGCCGCGUGAGUGAAGAAGUAAUUCGUUAUGUAAAGCUCUAUCAGCAGGGAAGAAAAUGACGGUACCUGAGUAAGAAGCCCCGGCUAACUACGUGCCAGCAGCCGCGGUAAGACGUAGGGGGCAAGCGUUAUCCGGAUGUACUGGGUGUAAAGGGAGCGUAGACGGCAGUGCAAGUCUGGAGUGAAAGGCGGGGGCUCAACCCCCGGACUGCUCUGGAAACUGUACGGCUGGAGUGCAGGAGAGGUAAGUGGAAUUCCUAGUGUAGCGGUGAAAUGCGUAGAUAUUAGGAGGAACACCAGUGGCGAAGGCGGCUUACUGGACUGUAACUGACGUUGAGGCUCGAAAGCGUGGGGAGCAAACAGGAUUAGAUACCCUUGUAGUC
rnacentral:rRNA from 1 species